GAUGAACGCUGGCGGCGUGCUUAACACAUGCAAGUCGAACGGUGAACGAGGGAGCUUGCUCCCUCCGGAUCAGUGGCGAACGGGUGAGUAACACGUGAGCAAUCUGCCCUGGACUCUGGGAUAAGCGUUGGAAACGACGUCUAAUACCGGAUACGAGGCGUGGGGGCAUCCCCAACGCCUGGAAAGAACUUCGGUCCAGGAUGAGCUCGCGGCCUAUCAGCUUGUUGGUGAGGUAACGGCUCACCAAGGCGACGACGGGUAGCCGGCCUGAGAGGGUGACCGGCCACACUGGGACUGAGACACGGCCCAGACUCCUACGGGAGGCAGCAGUGGGGAAUAUUGCGCAAUGGGCGAAAGCCUGACGCAGCGACGCAGCGUGAGGGACGAAGGCCUUCGGGUUGUAAACCUCUUUCAGCGGGGACGAAGCGAAAGUGACGGUACCCGCAGAAGAAGCACCAGCUAACUACGUGCCAGCCGCCGCAGUAAAAC
rnacentral:rRNA from 1 species